ACAUACAUUGCACAUACCUGUGGAAAACAAACCACAUGUGUACACGAUAAAUAAAUAAAUAAAUAAAUAAAUAUCAUUUAAUUUUGCUGACUGGCCUCUUCUGUCUAGACACACCGCUAAUUGGAAGGAAGAAAGCACACUGGAUGGUGCUUGAAAGUUUAAUCCUUAAGAUAACGCCUAGUUCUAAACACCGAGAAUAAUGGACACAGCUGCACCUGUGCUUCCCGGGUAACUGUGGUGCCUGUCUCUCACUGGAAUCCACAGGCGUCCCUGAAAGACUUGGCUGGGCCUUGGUGGCCGAGACACUGUGAGUCCAUGAAUCAGCAGAAUUUCUACCAAGAGGCUCCUCACCUUAGGAAUCAGGGAACCCGGUUUCCAGUUUCUGUUCCACCACUGAAAAGCCAUUUCGGAUUAGAGGGUCGGGGGUGGGGGCUGGGGGGUGGGGAUCGCGACUGUGUGACCUGUCUCUUGGCGGCUGCUUUCGAUUUCGAUUAUUUCUGGGCAGGUGGACUGGAACCAUUCUACCUCUGCGCUCUGUGAGUUGGCAAUGUUAUGUUAUUUUUGCCCUGCUCUGCUCUUCUCGCGAGAACAGUGAUUUGGUUGACUGGUGUGGAGCUGGAGAACAGCAUGUGGUGAGUGCCUGCCGCAUCCUGGAGACUGAGGCGAGGAGCACUGGGAGUGGGAGAGCAGCAUGAGCCAUGCCCCCAGUACCUGUUUCUAAACAAGUAACUAUAAACAAACGAAUAAAUAAAUAAAUAAAAUAAUAUACAUAAAUAAGUAAAUAUAAAUAAAUAGAAUAAUAUAUAAUAUACAUAAAUAAGUAAAUAUUUAUAAAUAAGAGAGGAACCAUUUUUUUUGAGACAUUUGCUAUUUAGCUCAGGCAGUCUCUGAACUCACUAUGUAGCCCAGGCUACUCAAAUUCACGGUCGUUCUACCUCAGUCUCCCAGUCCCAAGAUGACAGGCCUGAGAGUCGUGUCUUUUUCAUAUUGUCCAUCCCCUUUGUGACUGCUCUUCCUUUUAUUGCCCAGACAGAGCAUAAUUCCUUUUCACCAACAGGAUUGACAGCCUGGAGCAAGAAUUCAUUUCCCUCGGUGUUCUUUAAAGGGGGGAGGGGUACCCAUAAGCUUCUAUUUGGAUAGAGCAUCCAGCAGGGCCACUUGUCAAUGUGGCUUUCUUAUGACCUCUGUGUUCACUCCAGGGACCAGGGUUUUUAGCUGUGUGCCCCUCUAAGGCAAGAGCUGAAACAAUUAGCUUCUUUCGUGUUCCAGCCUACAGCAGCCAGAACUCAUGGCUCUGAAUAAAAAGACUCGGUCCUUAAUUUCUCCUCAAGCCACUAGGGGUCGCCUUCAUCUCAGAGAAAGAUUGUCCUCAGCCUGCAAGCUCUCAGUCUCUGCUGGGGAGCCUUUGGCUUCUUGGCACUGUGAUUUCUGGAGAAGUGGCUUCAAGUGGGAGAGAAACUGGCUGUCGGCAUGGAGGAGAAUGUGUUUAUGUGCAUGUCCUUUUUGAUAAUUUGAGAACUCCCCAAGGUGCCAUAGCUGUUCCCUUUGCAAUGAUGUCAUCUCUCACAAGCUGUUCUUCCAGAUGGGGUCAGCACUCCAGAUAAGGGGUACCUGGAUGAACUUUCUAGCCUGGAAUUUUAGGAGUGAGGUGGAUCCCUAGGUGGGGGUACAAUGAACUUUAAUUGCUGAGGCCUGUUAGGCUUAGUCAGUCCAUAAGCUCCCACCAAGUGUGGCUCAGGAAGACAAAAGGACAAGGCCCUGGGAACAGAUGGCUGAUGGAUCCAAUAGGCAUAAGAGCAGAACGACCGUGGAGACAGAAACAGAGUGGAGAGUUGAGUCCCCAGGAAGAGGAGGACUCGUGGACUCCAUAAAGAUCCGAGAAGAAUGGAGUCCUUUGGUGCCAUGAGGGUCUGACUUCCUCCUGCCUGAGGAAAAGCACUCUGGCGUUGAGGAGAUGGGUAGAGUUUUCCCUACCCAGGAAUAAAUGGAUACCCAGUGAUUGGGGAUUUCUGACAGUUUCCUGGAGACUGGAGCAUCUGCGGAAAUCUGAUUGAGUGAAUGGACUCUAAGAAAAGUGGGGUGUCAAGGGAAGAAGGCAGGCAUGAGUGAGAUGGGAGCAGUCCUGUGCACAAGGGGCUUGGGGGAAGCAGAGGAAGGCCCUUACAGUAUGGGGACGCCCAUGAACCUCGCUGGCCUAGAGGCCCGGGGUGCUGAGCCCCUGGGGCGCUCACCGGGUGGUUUGGGGACUGGGAGGUCCCUGGGCGCCAGGCAGGGGUGGGGGUGGCAGCAGCAGCCGGAGGGUGGGGCCGGGCGGGGAGGGGAGGGGGAGGGGCGGGGUCGGGCGGCCUGCCGGGGAAGUCACACUCGGCCGCCGCCGCGGGCGCAGCGAGCGGAGACGCGCCGGGCCGAGGCGACCUGACCUGGACGAGCGAGCGGCGCGCGCGGGGGCCCAGGCGGGGGGCGGGAGGCAGCGGCGGGCAGCGCAGGCCGCCGGGCCCGGGAGAAGCGGAGCGGAGAGGAGCGGGGGACACGGGCGGGGCCGCCGCAGCUCCGGAUGGGACCAGCGCCCGGGCCCGUUAGUCCAGGCAGGAGCUUCGGGAGAAGCCGUCACUGGGAGAGUCACCCCUGCCUUUCCCUCCCCUCUGGCCCAGGCCUCGCUUCGCUCCCUGCCUGCCCAUGUCCCAGUCCUUCCGCGGCGGGCGCCCUCCCACCUCAGCCCGGGGCUCUGGCUUCUCGCAGCUCUUUGCUCUCCCGGCCCGAUCAGCUGUGAGGUGUCCCCGGGCCGUUUCUUUGUGCCAGCCUCCCCCAAGUCCCUACCCCAUCCCAGGCUCAGAUUCCUCCCUUCUCGGCUUGGAAUUGUCAGGCUACUUCACCUCUCACUGUCCUCAUCCCGGUCGCAGGCCCCCUUGGUCUCUUCUUCCUUCUGCCACCCUAUCCUUAGUCCCUGGACCUGGCUGUGGGCUGGUAGCCCACUCCUUCCCGACCCAGGUUUCCCCCCAUCCUCUUCUUGCGUGGUCCCCAGCACUUUCUGUAUCCGGGCCGACUAAGCUUGCCCCCACUUCUCUUCCUGGCCCUCUUCCCCAGGCUCCAGGCUGGGUGGCGCUUGUGCCUGCCCAGUAGGCCAGAGCGGCCCCUGGUUCGGGGGACCGUGGGUCAGCUGCUCUAUCCCCAUGGCACUGCCAUCCCUGCUGCUGGUGGUGGCAGCCCUGGCAGGUGGGGUGCGUCCUCCGGGGGCACGGAACCUGACGCUGGCGGUGGUGCUGCCAGAACACAACCUGAGCUAUGCCUGGGCCUGGCCACGGGUGGGUCCUGCUGUGGCACUGGCUGUGGAGGCACUGGGCCGGGCACUGCCCGUGGACCUGCGGUUUGUCAGCUCCGAACUAGACGGCGCCUGCUCUGAGUACCUGGCACCACUGCGCGCUGUGGACCUCAAGCUGUACCAUGACCCCGACCUUCUGUUGGGCCCCGGUUGUGUGUACCCCGCUGCCUCUGUGGCUCGCUUUGCCUCACACUGGCGCCUUCCCCUCCUGACUGCGGGGGCAGUGGCCUCUGGCUUUGCAGCUAAGAAUGAGCAUUAUCGUACCCUGGUUCGCACUGGCCCCUCUGCGCCCAAGCUGGGUGAGUUUGUAGUGACAUUGCACGGGCACUUCAAUUGGACAGCUCGGGCUGCUUUGCUGUAUCUGGAUGCUCGCACAGAUGACCGGCCCCACUACUUCACCAUCGAGGGCGUCUUUGAGGCCCUGCAGGGCAGCAACCUCAGUGUGCAGCACCAGGUGUAUGCCCGAGAGCCAGGUGGCCCUGAGCAAGCCACCCACUUCAUCAGAGCCAACGGGCGCAUUGUGUAUAUCUGCGGCCCCCUGGAAAUGCUGCAUGAGAUCCUGCUUCAGGCCCAGAGGGAGAACCUGACCAAUGGGGACUAUGUCUUCUUUUACCUUGAUGUCUUUGGGGAGAGUCUCCGAGCAGGCCCCACCCGUGCAACAGGCCGGCCAUGGCAGGACAAUCGAACCCAGGAACAGGCCCAGGCCCUCAGAGAGGCCUUUCAGACUGUAUUGGUGAUCACAUACCGAGAACCCCCAAAUCCUGAGUAUCAGGAGUUUCAGAAUCGCCUGCUGAUCAGAGCCCGGGAAGACUUUGGUGUGGAGCUGGCCCCAUCCCUGAUGAACCUUAUUGCUGGCUGCUUCUAUGAUGGGAUCCUGCUCUAUGCCCAAGUCCUGAAUGAGACUAUACAGGAAGGGGGUACCAGGGAAGAUGGACUUCGAAUUGUGGAGAAGAUGCAGGGACGAAGAUACCAUGGUGUAACUGGACUGGUUGUCAUGGACAAGAACAAUGACCGCGAGACUGAUUUCGUCCUGUGGGCCAUGGGAGACUUGGAUUCUGGGGACUUUCAGCCCGCAGCCCAUUACUCUGGAGCAGAGAAGCAGAUUUGGUGGACAGGCCGGCCAAUUCCCUGGGUGAAGGGGGCCCCACCUUUGGACAAUCCCCCCUGUGCCUUUGACUUGGACGACCCAUCCUGUGAUAAAACUCCACUUUCCACUCUGGCAAUCGUGGCCCUGGGCACGGGAGUCACCUUCAUCAUGUUUGGUGUUUCCAGUUUCCUAAUUUUCCGGAAGCUGAUGCUGGAGAAGGAGCUGGCUAGCAUGCUAUGGCGCAUUCGCUGGGAAGAACUGCAGUUUGGCAACUCGGAUCGCUAUCACAAGGGUGCAGGCAGUCGCCUGACGCUGUCGCUGCGGGGAUCCAGUUACGGCUCGCUCAUGACAGCCCAUGGGAAAUACCAGAUCUUUGCCAACACCGGUCACUUCAAGGGAAAUGUUGUUGCCAUCAAACACGUGAAUAAGAAGCGCAUCGAGCUGACCCGGCAAGUUCUGUUUGAACUCAAACACAUGAGAGAUGUCCAGUUCAACCAUCUUACUCGCUUCAUCGGAGCCUGCAUAGACCCUCCCAACAUCUGCAUUGUCACCGAGUAUUGUCCUCGUGGGAGCUUACAAGUGAGGGACAGGGGAUAUUCUAGAAAAUGACAGCAUCAAUUUGGACUGGAUGUUUCGCUACUCGCUCAUCAAUGACCUUGUGAAGGGUAUGGCCUUUCUCCACAACAGCAUUAUUUCAUCUCAUGGAAGCCUCAAGUCCUCCAACUGUGUGGUGGAUAGUCGAUUUGUGCUCAAAAUAACAGAUUACGGUCUGGCUAGUUUCCGAUCAACUGCUGAACCGGACGACAGCCAUGCCCUCUAUGCCAAGAAGCUGUGGACUGCCCCAGAACUGCUUAGCGGGAACCCCUUGCCAACCACAGGCAUGCAGAAAGCAGAUGUCUACAGCUUUGCCAUCAUUCUACAGGAAAUAGCACUUCGAAGUGGUCCUUUCUACUUGGAAGGCCUGGACCUCAGUCCCAAGGAGAUUGUCCAGAAGGUGCGGAAUGGUCAGAGGCCGUAUUUCCGGCCAAGCAUUGACCGGACACAACUGAAUGAAGAGUUAGUUUUGCUGAUGGAGAGAUGCUGGGCCCAGGACCCAACAGAACGUCCAGACUUUGGGCAAAUCAAGGGCUUCAUUCGCCGGUUUAACAAGGAAGGUGGUACCAGCAUAUUGGACAACCUCUUGCUGCGCAUGGAACAGUAUGCUAAUAACCUGGAAAAGCUGGUGGAGGAACGCACACAGGCCUAUCUAGAGGAGAAACGCAAAGCGGAGGCCCUGCUGUACCAAAUUCUACCCCAUUCUGUAGCAGAGCAGUUAAAGCGGGGAGAGACGGUUCAGGCGGAGGCCUUCGACAGCGUCACCAUCUACUUCAGUGACAUCGUGGGCUUCACAGCGCUGUCAGCUGAGAGCACCCCCAUGCAGGUGGUGACACUUCUUAAUGACCUUUAUACCUGCUUUGAUGCCAUUAUCGACAACUUUGAUGUCUACAAGGUGGAAACCAUUGGGGAUGCCUACAUGGUGGUAUCUGGCCUUCCAGGCCGAAACGGUCAGCGCCAUGCACCAGAAAUUGCUCGAAUGGCCCUAGCAUUGCUAGAUGCUGUCUCUUCCUUCCGCAUCCGCCAUCGACCCCAUGACCAGCUGAGGUUACGCAUAGGUGUCCAUACUGGGCCAGUCUGUGCUGGGGUGGUUGGCCUGAAGAUGCCCCGGUACUGUCUUUUUGGAGACACAGUAAACACUGCUUCUCGAAUGGAGUCGAAUGGCCAAGCUCUAAAGAUCCAUGUCUCCUCGACCACCAAGGACGCCCUGGAUGAGCUGGGAUGCUUCCAGCUCGAGCUCCGUGGGGAUGUGGAGAUGAAGGGAAAAGGAAAAAUGCGAACUUACUGGCUCUUGGGAGAGCAAAAGGGACCUCCCGGACUCCUGUAAAGCCCAGGCCGGCCAUCUUCUGCUGCUGGUACUUGGAUGGGCAAUGGUCACUGUGUUUCCACACAGCAAAAACAGACGUAGCCAUAUCAGAUGGAAAACAUGCAUAGACACAAACCCCCUGCCUUAUGUGGAAAUCAUAGCCCCCUGCCGCUCAGCCUUGUACAUAGACCUAUCCCUCCCUGCCCUGGUCCUCUUCCUGCCUCCUGUAAAUAUCUGUAUCUAGACCAGAAUAUUUUGUCCAAGUAUAAAACAACAACAA